rnacentral:rRNA from 1 species
GUGAGGAAUUUUCCGCAAUGGGCGAAAGCCUGACGGAGCAAUGCCGCGUGAAGGAUGAAGGCCUAUGGGUUGUAAACUUCUUUUCUCAGAAAAGAAUUAUGACGGUAUCUGAGGAAUAAGCAUCGGCUAACUCUGUGCCAGCAGCCGCGGUACGACAGAGGAUGCAAGCGUUAUCCGGAAUGAUUGGGCGUAAAGCGUCUGUAGGUUGUUUAAAAAGUAUUCUGUCAAAGAUUAGGGCUUAACCCUAGAUAGGCAGAAUAAACUUUUAAGCUAGAGUUUGGUAGAGGCAGAGGGAAUUCCCGGUGGAGCGGUGAAAUGCGUAGAUAUCGGGAGGAACACCAAAGGCGAAGGCACUCUGCUGGGCCAAUACUAACACUGAGAGACGAAAGCGAGGGGAGCAAAUGGGAUUAGAUACCCUGGUAGUCC